GACGAACGCUGGCGGCGUGCUUAACACAUGCAAGUCGAACGCUGAAGCUCAGCUUUUGUUGGGUGGAUGAGUGGCGAACGGGUGAGUAACACGUGAGUAACCUGCCUCCUUCUUUGGGAUAACGCCCGGAAACGGGUGCUAAUACUGGAUAUUCACUUGUCUUCGCAUGGGGGUUGGUGGAAAGGGUUUUUCUGGUGGGGGAUGGGCUCGCGGCCUAUCAGCUUGUUGGUGGGGUGAUGGCCUACCAAGGCUUUGACGGGUAGCCGGCCUGAGAGGGUGACCGGUCACAUUGGGACUGAGAUACGGCCCAGACUCCUACGGGAGGCAGCAGUGGGGAAUAUUGCACAAUGGGCGCAAGCCUGAUGCAGCGACGCCGCGUGAGGGAUGGAGGCCUUCGGGUUGUGAACCUCUUUCGCUCAUGGUCAAGCCGCAACAAUGGUUGUGGUGAGGGUAGUGGGUAAAGAAGCGCCGGCUAACUACGUG
rnacentral:rRNA from 1 species